rnacentral:rRNA from 1 species
GACAGAGGGUGCAAACGUUGUUCGGAAUUACUGGGCGUAAAGCGCGUGUAGGCGGCUUCGCAAGUCGGGUGUGAAAUCCCACGGCUCAACCGUGGAAGUGCAUUCGAAACUGCAAGGCUAGAGUCCUGGAGAGGAAGGUGGAAUGCUUGGUGUAGAGGUGAAAUUCGUAGAUAUCAAGCGGAACACCGGUGGCGAAGGCGACCUUCUGGACAGUGACUGACGCUGAGACGCGAAAGCGUGGGGAGCAAACAGGG